ensembl:lncRNA
GUGGAGGAGGAGGAGGAGGUGGAGGCGACUCUUUGGCUCCUCAUAAAUAUUCAGGUCGCGUCCGGAUCGCCGCCACACCACCGCAUUAUUAGCCCGAGAAGAAAAGAGGGCUUCUUGUUGCACCGCGAACAACAACAACAAACAAACAAACAAACAAAGCCGUAGAGAUUCAGAGCACAAGUGGCGCGUGCUCGACGUUAUUAAGCGACAUCUUGUUUCUGCGGCUGCUUCUUUACGACCACCGGAGAACAACGACGGCUGGUUACCUGGUGACAUUGGAUCUCUACUUUCAGCGCCUCUUGCAGGCCUCGUACUUCCAUGUUUCCGGCCCGGCCACACAAAAAAAACUCACUUUUCUGACACUUUUUUCCGACGCCACCGACGCGAAGUUUUUUUUCCUUUUUUAAUCAGAAUAUAUAUUUUUUCUUAUUUCCAAAGCGACGAUAACAAUUGGAAGAACGAACUACUCGAGCUGACGGCAAAAAAAGCAAGUUCUCGCUUUUUUUUUUCGCAGGCUCGGGACUCAUCACCCCCACUUUCCGCCCGUCUGCGAAAAGUGCUCCAAACCCGGCGGAAAGAGCUCAGGCCCCGGCGGCUCUUCUCCAGAUUCGCGGCCAAACGUCGAGUGGUCCGACGGGGGAGCGGGGCUGCUUUCCCGUCGGUUAUUUUAAGUUGAAACACGGGGACUAUAUUCUGUCCGAGUCCGCGGCUUGAUUUCACUUUGCCUGGGGAAAAGUUGCGCUUCGGCUGUCAAUGGUAAUUCUGAGAGUUCCCGGAUGGAGCAGCGAGGGCAUGCGCAGUAGGGAGAAGCUACAACUACUUCAAGGAGCAUUUUAUAAAUGCGUGCCGCUAUUGGUCCCAGCCGAGCCAAUCAAGAGCUGCGAUGAUUGAGGGGCAGCGCGGGGAACCAACGGGAGCCCGGCGUCGGGAGGAGGGGGAGGAGGAUGUGAUCGGAAAGUUGAUGAGCGAGCAGAGAUGGCAGCUGGCUUCAUUUACAGGCCUGAUUGACUGAUAGGUCCGUCAGCCAAUUAGAGACGAGACGCAGUAAAUCAAACAAGCCGAACCCCCACUGAGCGGAGACACCUUCACGCUGCACAGCAGGAAGCAAACCUCUACAGGGAAACCUGCAGGAACCAGAGUAGAUCCUUCAAGAGAC